GGUAGUGGCUUAGUGGUAGAGCGCUCAUCUAGCACGUGUGAGGUCCUGAGUUUGAUCCUCAGCACCA
rnacentral:tRNA from 1 species